UACGUAGGGGGCAAGCGUUGUCCGGAUUUAUUGGGCGUAAAGCGCGUGUAGGCGGCCAGGUAGGUCCGCUGUGAAAACCCGAGGCUCAACCUCGGGACGUCGGCGGAAACCAUUUGGCUAGAGUCCGGAAGAGGUGAGUGGAACUGCGAGUGUAGAGGUGAAAUUCGUAGAUAUUCGCAAGAACACCAGUGGCGAAGGCGGCUCACUGGUCCGGUACUGACGCUGAGGUGCGAAAGCGUGGGGAGCAAACAGG
rnacentral:rRNA from 1 species